CGCGGAGUGGAGCAGCACGGUAGCUCGUCGGGCUCAUAACCCGAAGGUCGUAGGUUCAAAUCCUGCCUCCGCAA
rnacentral:tRNA from 1 species